rnacentral:misc_RNA from 1 species
AUUCACAGAAACAGGUAGCUCGAAUCGUACUUAAUACAGCAGUUGUUUUUAUAUUUGUUUUACUUUCGUAUUUCGAUUUUUAUGUUUAUGGAGGAGUUAAAGUUCAAUGGCUCACCUGUGGAAGUGAAUGACAGCUGAAUUCAAGUAGACCAUAUGGUUCACUGCUCCUCAUGAACAUUUUUAACUGUGUAACAUGACAAUUGACAAAGAUGUUUCUUCAACUAAUAAACCAAUCGACUGGGAGAGAUAUGGCCUGUGUAGUGAACCUGCCAGUGAGCAGGGACCACUUCUGGGUUCGUGGGGAGAGAGGGAAGGCAGCUCACACUUUCAUGAUAGAGGAGCCAAAGAAGAGUUAUUUCAGGAAAAUGAGUUAGCAAACAGCAAGCCUUGGUGGAAAGCUAAUUUCUUCCUGUCUGAACCAGUUUUAUUUGGCGUUUGGGAUGGUGUAUUUACUUCAUGCAUGAUCAACUUGUUUAGUGUUAUCAUAUUUCUUCGAGUGGGAUGGAUUGUUGGUAAUGCUGGGGUUGUUCAAUCAGUAGGAAUUGUGAUCAUCACUGUCCUCAUUGGAAUAACUACAGUCUUGUCUGGUAUUGGUAUAUGUGAUAGAUGUCAUCUGGAAAGGGGUGGCGUGAAUUUCCUUCUUUCACACAUAUUCGGAGCACGCACUGGGGGAGCCAUCAGCCUCAUCUACUGUUUCGGUCAAUCUGUAAGUUGCGCACUUCAUGUUAUGGGCUUUGCAGAAUCCUUUUCACAAGUUGUUGCCAUCACUGAUGCUUGGGCCACUCGAGGUGUUGCUGUUGGAAUGAUAACUUUACUUUUAGCUAUUAAUUUGGCUGGUGUCAAAUGGGUAGUGCGAUUGCAGUUUGGACUGUUGAUUUUAUUGCUUUUAUCCGCACUUGACUUUGCAGUUGGUACUUUUAUCCAAGUUGACUUUGUUCAUGGAGUUGUUGGCUAUGAUUUGGCUAAUCUGAAGAACAACACUGGUCCUGAUUAUAAUGAUGGGGAAAAUUGGUUUACUGUGUUUGGAGUAUUUUUUCCAGCCAUGACAGGCAUACUGGCUGGAAUCAACAUGAGUGGAGACUUGCACAAUCCUUCCAAAGACAUUCCAACUGGGACGCUUGCAUCAGUUGGAACUAGCUUUUUUAUUUACAUGAUGUUUGUUGUGGGCUUAGGAGCAACCUGCCAACGCUGGGCUUUACAUACUGAUUACAUGAUAGCUGAAAAAGUGUCUGCCAUUGGUGUUCUCUUCUUAGCUGGUCUAUAUAUAUCUGCAAUGUCUGCCUGUCUGGGCGCUCUCUAUGCUACACCCAGGAUUAUUCAAAGUAUGGCCAAUGAGAAUGUCAUACCACUCUUAAGAUUCUUGGGCAAAGGUAAAGGACCCAACAAAGUACCCAUAUACUCACUUAUACUUUUUGCUAGUGUUACCUUUAUAUUUGUUCUGAUUGGAAGCAUCAAUACCUUGGCGCCAAUAGUCACAAUUCCAUUUCUUUUCACUUAUGCCUCUGUUGAGUAUGCAUAUUUCUCCCUUGCCAUGAGUUUUGAUAUUCAAAGAAAACGAGAAGAGAGAUACAGCGAGCAAAAGGUUCAGAGUCCAUCUUUUGUAGUGGAUUUAAACCAUAAGCGAGCUUAUGGUUCAGCCAAGACUGAUGCCGACUUAGACGAACUGUUUCCAGAGCGUGUGCCGCAUCAUAAACGUGGAUUAGUUCGAGAAGGGAGUAGCAUGAGCCUGAGCCCUACGGACUCUCCUUUAACAUCUCCCGAUGAGCACAGUUCUGUCCGUAGUGUUGAUAGUCUAAAUUCUCAAAUUUGUGUUACGCAACCUGCAGCAAAAACUCCAGGUGAAGGCUUGUGUGAAGAUAGCCAUGAUGUUUUUAGUUCAGUGGAUAUAUGCUUUCGCUGCGUUUGCAGUAUUGUUACUUUUGUGGUUUUACAUUGGGCAGGUUAAUCCUGGAAAUUUUCGUGGUAUAGCAGAAUUUAGACUAUUUCCUUGGCUAAAAAACUUGUUCUACCUAUGCUUGGGAUGUAAAAUAAUUAACUACGAUCAAAUUGUCGUGGCUCCAAUUUUGCCUGAAAUGGAAGUAAAAGAAGCCCAAUUAACUGAAGAC